GAUGAACGCUGGCGGCGUGCCUAAUACAUGCAAGUCGAGCGAACGGACGAGAAGCUUGCUUUUCUGAUGUUAGCGGCGGACGGGUGAGUAACACGUGGAUAACCUACCUAUAAGACUGGGAUAACUUCGGGAAACCGGAGCUAAUACCGGAUAAUAUUUUGAACCGCAUGGUUCAAAAGUGAAAGACGGUCUUGCUGUCACUUAUAGAUGGAUCCGCGCUGCAUUAGCUAGUUGGUAAGGUAACGGCUUACCAAGGCAACGAUGCAUAGCCGACCUGAGAGGCUGAUCGGCCACACUGGGACUGAGACACGGUCCAGACUCCUACGGGAGGCAGCAGUAGGGAAUCUUCCGCAAUGGGCGAAAGCCUGACGGAGCAACGCCGCGUGAGUGAUGAAGGUCUUCGGAUCGUAAAACUCUGUUAUUAGGGAAGAACAUAUGUGUAAGUAACUGUGCACAUCUUGACGGUACCUAAUCAGAAAGCCACGGCUAACUACGUG
rnacentral:rRNA from 1 species